UACAUAAUGCUUUCAUAAUCCAUAAUAAACGGACAUGGAUCAUAGUUAAUAGAGUUAAUAGCAUAUUUCUUGAGUUGAAAUGUAAAUAAUUUGUACAUAGAAGAGAAACUAGGCAAUAUCAGCAUGAAUACCGGUAACCUAAAUGAAGUGACUAAACAAAUGUCAGAAAAAUAUCCCCACUAUAACACAUAUAAAAAAUGUCAAUCACAAACCUUUAUGACAGGACUGCUAACAUUCGUCACAGGAACUGCUGCAGUCUAUCUUGUUCAAGAUGUGCUUAAAACUAAAUUACCCUAUGAGAAAAAAUCUAUUUUGAU